GCCUCUUCCACAUAACAUUUUCUGGCGGAUGUAUAGCAUCUUUGCAUAAGGAAUCAGAGAAUUUGCAAGGAUUGGCCGGUGAAAGAUGAGGAUUCAAUCAAACUCUGAGAUCUCAGAGCACCGAUGGCUGAGUUUGAAAAUUGAGACUGCAGACUCCAGUCUUGCUAAGGAAGCAGCUCAGAGGUGCACAGAUAUCCUGGAUUGUGACAUUCAAAUGAAUACACUGCAGAAGAAAGAAGUGUAUUGCCACAGAAUAUGGGAUAAUUACUACAGACCAGGUGUAUCAGUCUUACAGGAAAAUGAGCUUGAAGCUUACAGGUUACUCAGAAGUGCCCAGGAGCUAGGGUCAUCGAAUAUAUGCCAAUGUGUAGAUUGCAGAUUGCAAGGGGGGGAUGUCUGUGCCACCAACACCCUGGGAACUGGCCCCAUCAAUAGUCAGUUCACAUUGGCACAGGUACCUCAGUCUGAAGGUCAGUGCUGGCCAAAGACGGAAAGACACAUAGGCAUUUUCAGGCUAUCCCCUUAUGCUCCAAGUCCUCACCUCAUCCCCCAUCCCCACACAAAGUCUACCACAAAAGGCCUGAAAAGGCUUGUUGGUUUUAAAAAUGAGCUGUGGAGUCCACAGUGUAGACCUUAUGGCAGGUACCCAGGCAAUGACAGGUACUUAUGCAAAAAAGUUUGUUUUCUAGGAUGGCCUUAUGCAUCUGGUCUGCAGGUUAGACCUCCUGUCUGAGCUCCGGACAUGCUUACGGAUGUUCAGCCAUGUGCGCUUUCACACCAAAAAGAGAUCCUGCUCCCUUACAAGCCACACAAAUGCUGACAUUCACUUCUACACGAGCAAAUUCAAGCACUGUAAUUAUAGAUAUCCUGUUCCACUUUUAAUCUCUUUAACUCAGUUUUGUUCUGUCCAUAUUUACAGGGACUGGCUACUGGACAUGGUAAAUGGAGCAAUUAUCUACAUACAUGUCCUUCACUGAAUAAACACAGACACUCAGGUAGCAUUUCCCUAGAUAUUCUCCACACUUACUGUAACUUUUAAAUUUGUAGCCACAUUUUAAACAGACAGACAAAAAAACAAACAUACAUUAAUGAGAACUCUUAAAAUCUAAUCACAUCUCCCUGUACCGAUUCACUCCUGAUUCAUACAGCCUGCUUACAGUGGCUCAGAGAGCAGUACUUGCAACCAGCAUUUACAAACAAUUCCACGAAGUGCUCAGGCCCAUACAUGUGCCUCAACAUUUUGCCAAUGGAAACUUUUAAAUGAAGCAAUAUUCUUAAUAUCAGAGCCAGGUACCAAAUCUGCAGCAUGACUGGGGCUCACAGGCAACUCUUAGAACAGCAGUAAGAUUCCAGUAAAAUUGCGGUUGGUUGCAAUCCAACCUUUAUACUGUUAUCUCUCGUUGAGAUAUAUAUAGACGACCCUGUAUGGCCUAACUGCAAAUAUCAAAUGUAUUUUUACAAGUUAGCAACAGCCUUUUUUGACAUUGCCUCUUGAGAUGUCCUCUACAUUGUGACUGACAAGCACAAACAUAAUUCAUUAUACAGUAUGCUUUAAAAGCCUUUUUUUACAUUCGACUUUUACUGUUGCUUGUUUCUGAGCUGUCUUCUAGUGCUGAGAUUUGCUGUCCCCGUCCUUUUUGAUUUCUUUCUUAGUUUUUAAUUGCUGGUUGGACAUGCCAGUGGCAUCUCCCAGGCAAACCCUUUCUACAUAAUUAGUUUUGAAACUCGGAUGAGUCAUUGGGCCCUUAACUACUAUGCCUCUAUUAUUUUAACUUGAAUACAGCACAUCUCAAAGAUUUUGGCCUCUUUUUGCAGUUGUGGAAAUUCAUAGGAUGACAUUGCUGCAGGUCUUGAUCCAUUUGCUUUCUAUUGUAAGUUUCCAGGGUUUUUUUCACAAUAUAAAGCACAUUUCAAAGCCUAACAGUGUUGUGAACCAGCCUCCUCUCCCAGUGGUGCAGAUCAUUUUCUGCUUUACUGGCAGCUGAAUAAAGCAAUGCCAUAUUUAUGACAAAAGUUAAUGAAAAUAUGUAAAAUUAAAAAUACUUCAUGUAGUUUUCAUUUUCUUUUAAUGCAGGUUGACAAAUGAAAACAGAACACAGACAGCCACACAGGGCCAUGCUGGUUUUUAUGGCCCACCAGUGACAACUCAAGAGGCCACAGUUUGGGAACUGCUGUUUCAGAAAAUUCUAGCCAAUCUCUUUAAGAGACCACAUGUGACCCUACCACAAAUCAUAUCCUAGCAGAACUGCGGCUGGCAAAGAAUACAUAUUUAUGGUAGGCAUUCUCAUCAUUCACUGAGAAUCUAAAAAAUCCAAACCAUUAUAGUUAAAAUGGGUUGAGAUAAAAGAUAAAUGAAGUGGGUGUAAUUUUCUUUUAGCCUAUGCACUUUCAUAGGGAAAUUUUCACAAAGCUGACAUUGGUACAGGACAUACCAAUUAUUGGUUUCUGUGAUGAUUCUGACCCAUAUUAAGGAUUUGACCUCAUAAUCCCUAGCUACAGUCCUUCCUAUAUUCCCAUGAUAAACAAAGGGGGCUUUGUCUUACAGAAGACUAUGGGACUGGACUCAAAACAUUUUCUUGGGGUUCAGAUGCCACAUCCAUGAAAAUGGGAAAGACCCAAGCAGAAAUGUAUUUCUACAAUAGGGGCAAAGAGGCUGAGUUGAAGAGCCACUACACUAUUGUGCAGUAUGACACAGGCGUUUCCUAAGGAAGUACCGCCCUUCUUUUUGCAAAUGGAGUAUACAAGCAGUUUCUCACCUGAACUUCAAGUUGUAACCCCCUGUGUAGUAUUAUUGCAUACUUGUUACUUGUUCUGUCAGACAAAAUCAAAAUGCAUCUCUUUAAAAUCUGCACAUAGUUUACAAAAAUCUGCACAUAGUUUACAAAAAUGUCUCUUUAUAUAGAGAGUAAGUUCAAUCUAUAGUUAGCUGUUUGUCGUGUGAGAAGGAUAAUACCUGGGUUGCUGUGAAAAGAUACUGCUUUGGAAAAUAGCUCCUAAGUCUUGUCUUUGAACUCCCCCAAAGCUUCUGAAAGAGGACUUCAAAACACCCAGCUGCAGCCACAACUAAUCAAAAUAGGAAAAGGUGGGGAAUGAUGAGAAAGUGCCAGUAUCCAGUACUUGUAGAGCCAGAUUUUAGGUCCUGAACUCAGAUUCAGCAGUACCUUAUUCUGCAACUAAUUUUAGGAUGGUAAAUCUGACAGAGCGCUCUAAUUAAAGAGCAGAAGAAACCAGUUCCAUGUAAUUCUUUAGAAGAUCCAGUAUGAGAUCUCAUGCAUCAGUUACUCUCUUUACAUCCACAGAACUCCCACCAAGCUUGGCAGGGGCUUAUAGAAAGUCUGGCGUCUGACUUUGACUCCGAAGGGCUGAUUUGGGGGUGAUUUACCAGGGAAGAUAAAGGGGCCCCUUAGCAACCCCCUUGACACAACAGAUGUUCCUGACGU